CCUACGGGUGGCAGCAGUGGGGAAUAUUGCACAAUGGGGGAAACCCUGAUGCAGCGACGCCGCGUGAGUGAAGAAGUAAUUCGUUAUGUAAAGCUCUAUCAGCAGGGAAGAAAAUGACGGUACCUGAGUAAGAAGCCCCGGCUAACUACGUGCCAGCAUCCGCGGUAAUACGUAGGGGGCAAGCGUUAUCCGGAUUUACUGGGUGGAAAGGGAGCGUAGACGGCAGGGCAAGUCUGGAGUGAAAGGCGGGGGCUCAACCCCCGGACUGCUCUGGAAACUGUACGGCUGGAGUGCAGGAGAGGUAAGUGGAAUUCCUAGUGUAGCGGUGAAAUGCGUAGAUAUUAGGAGGAACCCCAGUGGCGAAGGCGGCUUACUGGACUGUAACUGACGUUGAGGCUCGAAAGCGUGGGGAGCAAACAGGAUUAGAUACCCUAGUAGUC
rnacentral:rRNA from 1 species